rnacentral:lncRNA from 1 species
ACCAAUGUAAUAUGAAAUCUUAAACGAUAAAAGAUUAAAUUUUCAAUAAUAAAGAAAUAUACCCAGAACUAAAAAGAUUAAAUUGAAUAAUAAAGAAACAUACCCAGAACUAAAAAGAUGAAAUCUUGAAUAAUAAAGAAACAAUGAAACAUACCAAGAAACUAAAAAGGUGAAAUCUUGAAUAAUAAUAAUAAAAAAAAAACAUACCAAAAAAUGGUCAAGUUCUUGGCGAUCAUGUGGUGAAAGUGGCUGAUUAUGGUGGUCGGAGAUGUAUGAAGAAAAAGAUCAAGAAAAAUGAAGAAAAAGAUCAAGAAAACUUCUCUCUCUAAAACUUUCUCUCACAAGAAUCAAGAAAGUGAAAUGUGUGGGGUUAGGGAAAGAGGACCACUUGUACUUUGGGAGAGCUAGCUGGAAAGAGGACUACUUAAACGAUAAAAGAUUAAAUUUUUUAAGUUUAUGUUUUUAUUUUAAGUAUGUAAUUUGUUUUUAAUAUUAAUGAAAAUAUUUUGUUAUUUUAUUUGUUAAAUGUUAAACAAAAUGUAGAAGAUUAAAAAAAUAUAAAAAUGUUAUUUAAUUUUUUUCCUUAUGUUUUAUAUAGAUUUGAAAAUGUUUUUAUAAUUAAUUUCAUUUAUGUUUCGUUUUAAAUUUAUUUCUUUAAGUUUAAUUUUUUUUAAGUUUAUGUAAUGUUUUUUAAUAUUAAUGAAAAUAUUUUAUUACUUUAUUUGGUAAAUGUUAAAUAAAAGUUGAAGAUUAAAAAAAAUAAAAAAACAUAAAAGUGGUGGAGGACUAUGACUAGGACCAUCCUCCCAUGCCCUCUAGUUUUGGAGGAUGAUCCAUCCUUGGGAGGACUAUGACGUGUCAUCUACGUGGCGGAUCAUCCUCCAAGAAUAGACCAUCACCAUACCUUGUAGUCUUACUUAAUGUUUAUUAGCUAUGCAUUAAAUGCAAAUGAUUGACUGAUUUUGUGUUACAAUCAAGAGUAAAUUAUAAGUUUUGUUAUGUACCAAAUUGCAAGCGGCGCCCUUUAACUUCAAAAUUAACUGGUUUUGUUCUUAACGUUUCAAAAUCCUGCACGUUGUGUCCUUUAGGCCAAACCCAAUUAUAAUUUUUGGUUAAAGUUGGUCAUGUGUCUUGCACAUGAGGGCACUUUUGUCAUUUCGCCUUCGUAGGAACUAUUAAGUAAAUAAGUUAGG